UAACGCGAAGAACCUUACCAGGUCUUGACAUCCUCUGACAACCCUAGAGAUAGGGCUUUCCCCUUCGGGGGACAGAGUGACAGGUGGUGCAUGGUUGUCGUCAGCUCGUGUCGUGAGAUGUUGGGUUAAGUCCCGCAACGAGCGCAACCCUUGAUCUUAGUUGCCAGCAUUCAGUUGGGCACUCUAAGGUGACUGCCGGUGACAAACCGGAGGAAGGUGGGGAUGACGUCAAAUCAUCAUGCCCCUUAUGACCUGGGCUACACACGUGCUACAAUGGAUGGUACAAAGGGCUGCAAACCUGCGAAGGUAAGCGAAUCCCAUAAAGCCAUUCUCAGUUCGGAUUGCAGGCUGCAACUCGCCUGCAUGAAGCCGGAAUCGCUAGUAAUCGCGGAUCAGCAUGCCGCGGAUA
rnacentral:rRNA from 2 species